rnacentral:rRNA from 1 species
GACGAACGCUGGCGGCGUGCUUAACACAUGCAAGUCGAACGGAAAGGCCCUGCUUUUGUGGGGUGCUCGAGUGGCGAACGGGUGAGUAACACGUGAGUAACCUGCCCUUGACUUUGGGAUAACUUCAGGAAACUGGGGCUAAUACCGGAUAGGAGCUCCUGCUGCAUGGUGGGGGUUGGAAAGUUUCGGCGGUUGGGGAUGGACUCGCGGCUUAUCAGCUUGUUGGUGGGGUAGUGGCUUACCAAGGCUUUGACGGGUAGCCGGCCUGAGAGGGUGACCGGCCACAUUGGGACUGAGAUACGGCCCAGACUCGUACGGGAGGCAGCAGUGGGGAGUAUUGCACAAUGGGCGGGAGCCUGAUGCGGCAACGCCGCGUGCGGGAUGACGGCCUUCGGGUUGUAAACCGCUUUCGCCUGUGACGAAGCGUGAGUGACGGUAAUGGGUAAAGAAGCACCGGCUAACUACGUG